GUCUUCUUGAUUAUAAUUUGAAGUCUGGCCUGCCCUAUGAUAUUUAAAUGGCCGCAGUAUUUUGACUGUGCUAAGGUAGCAUAAUAAUUAGUUUCUUAAUUAGAAGCUUGUAUGAAAGGUUUGAUGAAAAAACUUCUUUCUUAAAAUUAAUUAUUUUGAAUUUUAUCUUUAAGUAAAAAAGCUUAAAUUUUUUUAAGGGACGAGAAGACCCUUUAGAAUUUUAUAUAAUUAUUUAUUAUUAAUAUUUAGUAUUAACUUUAUAAUUUAUAGUUUUAUUUAGUUGGGGUGACGGAAAAAUUUAAUUAACUUUUUUUUAUUUUUACGAUUUAGUUGAAUAGUUGAUCCAUUUUAUGAUUAUAAGAAAAAAUUACCUAAGGGAUAACAGCGUAAUAAUUUUAGAGAGUUCUUAUCGAAAAAAUUGAUUGCGACCUCGAUGUUGGAUUAGAAUUUCUUUUAGGUGUAGCAGCUUAAAGAGAAGGUCUGUUCGACCUUUAAAUUUCUACA
rnacentral:rRNA from 1 species